UGGGAGAAAGACUGCUCUGAAUAAUAGUCCAGUGAAUGGCUCAGGAGAGCAUGAGCAACUUUACCCUGGGAACAGCCAACAACAAUCUAACUCAGAGAGAGACAGAGCAUUGGAUGGGAAUGACGAGGGCCUGAAAGACAAGCUGAUAGUUGAGAAUGAUGUAAAUCAGGAAGAAGUGCCCCAGGAUGCAGAAGGUGAAAAUGGGGGGCACCCAGACAACUCACCCAGCUGCACUAAAGGAGAUCUUAAAGCAUAAGGAAAUAAUUGCUUUGUUGCCCAAACAAACAUGGAAGAGAAGCAGUAGAAUUCAGUGAUGAAGGAGGUGCUACCUUUUCUCUUCCACAAGCAAUGAAGUUGUCAGACCUUCAUCAAGAAGCCCUUUGAAGACAGGCUGAACUGUUUCCAGUGCCUAUUUUUCUUUCCUCAGGAAAAACAGCCUUCUUUUCUAGUGUUACUAUGUGAAGACAAAUAGGCCAAACCAUGUACAAAAUCUUUUAAAUUGUUUUGUAUAUGUUUUUUUUGUAUAUGGGGUUUUUUUUUUUACUAACACACUAAAGCCUCUUUGUCGUUAAUAUUUAGAGAUUUACAAAGUUUUAUAUAUUUGCAUGAAUGUGAACAAGUCAAAAACUGAUCAGCUUUCACUUUUUUAUCAAUACCUUUUUACAGUCAGAAAAAAAAAAAAACUUCAUCCUUCAGCAGGCCCACAUGGUGGAAGUUUGCAUUUUCUAGUCUUGGUUCUAGACAAAGCUAUGUCCUAGAUUUGCCAGAUGCCUGGCAAAUGGAUCAUCUCCUGACAGUGGUUCAUUCUGGGAUAAAACUACAUUUCAGCUUGUUUUUGCACUGUAACAAAGCUGUUAUUAACAGCAGAUUUGGUCUUUUUCUAAAGCUUUUUAUAUUUUUUGAACUUUUAGGACUUUUUAAGCCUUUGCUCUUCAUAUUUUUUGAAGAAUGUCAUCUCACUUCUACUCAUUCCUAGGAAAUAAUAGUAUGUUUUUAAGUUGCUUGAGACUAGAACAAAAACUUGAAAACUGAGGUAGUGUAUAUAAUGAAAUUUAAAAAUAAUCAAAAAGAAAACCACCAUGCAUUAAUGCUUUCAGAACAUCAAACUAUGGAGUGCUUUUCAUUAUGUUUACAUGCUGACUGUUUAUGAAAGUUGAAAGCCAGUUUAGUUCAUUUUGAACAUGGCAUGUGUGAAGAAUCAUGAAGGUUUGACACUAGUAACCAAAGAUCAGAAGACACUGGUAACAUUCAGCUUUCCCCUUGUUUUGACUUUUGCCCUUUCCACU